rnacentral:rRNA from 1 species
UACGUAGGGUGCAAGCGUUGUCCGGAAUUAUUGGGCGUAAAGAGCUCGUAGGCGGUUUGUCGCGUCUGCUGUGAAAACUCGGGGCUUAACUCCGGGCCUGCAGUGGGUACGGGCAGACUAGAGUGCGGUAGGGGAGACUGGAAUUCCUGGUGUAGCGGUGAAAUGCGCAGAUAUCAGGAGGAACACCGGUGGCGAAGGCGGGUCUCUGGGCCAUAACUGACGCUGAGACGACGAAGCGUGGGGAGCAAACAGG